rnacentral:rRNA from 1 species
UACGAAGGGUGCAAGCGUUACUCGGAAUCACUGGGCGUAAAGCGUGCGUAGGCGGUUCGUUAAGUCUGUUGUGAAAGCCCUGGGCUCAACCUGGGAACUGCAGUGGAUACUGGCGAGCUAGGGUACGGUAGAGGAAGGUGGAAUUCCCGGUGUAGCGGUGAAAUGCGUAGAGAUCGGGAGGAACACCAGUGGCGAAGGCGGCCUUCUGGACCAGUACUGACGCUGAGGCACGAAAGCGUGGGGAGCAAACAGG